CCCCCCUCCCACCAGAUACAGAGUCAAACAAUAACAAUUAUCAACAACUGCAGCAGCUAGAACUAACGCAAAAUAAGGAACACCACUAAUUCAUAGUUCAAGCACCUUACCAGCUACAGACAAGGUCAACAAGAUAUCCGAUCUCUGUGAACCCAAACUCAUACCCAAGUUCCCCCUUUCUGUACCCUACCCCGAAUGAUAUGUAAAAAUUAAGGUAAAACGCUGUAAACUGUUAACUGUAAGCUCAACCUCGUUCUGUCUUUUGCUUGUAAUGUUUAAUACGAUGGUCAAGUAAUUCCAUGUCAAAAAUAAUGUUCUGUCAUAACGAUGAGAACGUGGACGACUG